CUUACAUUUUGUUUGUCAAUGUCAUGUCAUUAGUCAGUCUCAUCACCUUUGAAUAGCAGAACAGAACGAACACUAUCACCAAUUCGUAUUGUGGCUUUUUGCAUGUGUCUUAAAUUCUCAUAUUUGAUAAUAAAUGCAACAAUAAAAUAUUUCCCUUAUUCUGCCACAGUUAUGCACCAGUCAAUUGUAACAAUGGCGCCCAGGUCUUGUUUAUACCGGGGAUAGCAGGGGAAAUGGGCCAUGUUUUUACCUUCCAGGUGGACCGGCAGUGCUGAGUGAAUGCGGUGUUAUUGUUUUUGCGCUGAUAACAGGGAAUGGGCCUAACCUAGGAUGUCCCCAGGGGCAUUUGACGGGGAUCUGGUCAUUUCGUAACCUUACCAUUUCGUAACUGCUGAUCUUGGUUAUUUCGUAACCAUUCUAUACACUGUGUUGUGUGUGGAUAAGAAAUGCAGAGUGGUACCACCAAUCACCUAAGCCACCAUUCCCCUAACAGACAAAAGGCUCAUGGGGACAGUUCCUGCAGUUUACAGCAAAUUGUAGCCCUACAAACUUCAGAUACUGCCAAGCUUGGGUGCACUGGGCCGGUUAUCCAGCCGUGUGGAAUCAACAUCUCCAGCUGAACUUGGGCCGGGAAUUAUAUAAGAAUCCUUAGCAGCAUGAGUGCCAGCCAGUCAUUGCUGUUCUUUGCAUUGCUGAGGAGGACAGUCCUGCCAACAUAAUAGUUUGUUCAAUAACAGGUAAAAAACUGGUCUCACUUUACAUUUU